rnacentral:rRNA from 1 species
UGGGGAAUAUUGGACAAUGGGCGAAAGCCUGAUCCAGCCAUGCCGCGUGUGUGAAGAAGGUCUUCGGAUUGUAAAGCACUUUAAGUUGGGAGGAAGGGCAUUAACCUAAUACGUUAGUGUUUUGACGUUACCGACAGAAUAAGCACCGGCUAACUCUGUGCCAGCAGCCGCGGUAAUACAGAGGGUGCAAGCGUUAAUAGGAAUUACUGGGCGUAAAGCGCGCGUAGGUGGUUUGUUAAGUUGGAUGUGAAAUCCCCGGGCUCAACCUGGGAACUGCAUUCAAAACUGACUGACUAGAGUAUGGUAGAGGGUGGUGGAAUUUCCUGUGUAGCGGUGAAAUGCGUAGAUAUAGGAAGGAACACCAGUGGCGAAGGCGACCACCUGGACUAAUACUGACACUGAGGUGCGAAAGCGUGGGGAGCAAACA